rnacentral:lncRNA from 1 species
CGCUGUAUAAUCUUGAAAAAGUUUCAAGAUCUAACCCUGAAACCCUAGAUCUGGUUCCUACAAUUGGUAUCAGAGCCUAGGUUCUUUAUUACAUGAUUAUUUAUACAUGCUUAGAUUAUUUUUUAGAUUAGAUCUAAUUUAUAAUCUGAUUAUUAAAUCUGAAAUUAAAAUUUUAGAUCAAUCACAAACUGCAAGGUUGUCCUGCUGUAAGGUUUACCCCUUACAGUGAAAAGGUUGUCCUAGUUUGUGUAGAUCUAUCUUUAAUCAUAAAUUUGUUAGAUAUGAUCUAGAUUAAAUUUAUGAUUUAUUAGAUUUAAAAGAUAUUUAAAUCUAAAAUAAAAUCUCUUUGUUAAUAAUUUUUAUGCAAAGAAAUUAUUUAAAGUUAAAAUUAUUUCAAUUACAUGAACCUGUUUAGAUUAGAUCUAAAGUAGUUUCAUGUUUAUUUCACUUGCAUCUUGAUUAUGAAUCAAACAUGCAAUAUGAUUGGUAGAAUC